rnacentral:rRNA from 1 species
UACGGAGGGUGCAAGCGUUGUCCGGAUUUAUUGGGUUUAAAGGGUGCGUAGGUGGCGGGGUAAGUCUGGUGUGAAAUCCUGGGGCUCAACCCCGGAACUGCACUGGAUACUGCUUUGCUAGAGUACUGGAGAGGGAACUGGAAUUUACGGUGUAGCAGUGAAAUGCGUAGAUAUCGUAAGGAAGACCAGUGGCGAAGGCGAGUUCCUGGACAGUUACUGACACUGAGGCACGAAGGCCAGGGGAGCAAACGGG